CACAAGACCCUCAUCACUUUAUAAAGUAUUUAAAUGAAUGAAAAUUAGAAAGUUAUUCAACAUUCAUUUUAGUUUGUAGAAAUCAGAAAGUCCUUCUCACAUUUUCAUUGUUUUGUUUAAUUUAGGGUUUGAUGAUGUUUAUCAAUUCAUUUUAAAUAAUAUAAAGGAUUUUAAUAAGGCACAGUCUGAUGAUCUGUGAAAAGAUACUAAAGAUAAAUUUGCAUAGAGACUCUUUGCAUUGGAAAGACUUGAGGAUUUUUUAUAGACGCAUCAGAAGUUCAUCAUCAGAAAUCUAAACUCACAGUCACCAUGACCUUCAUCAGCAUCUUCAUCUGGAUGUUAACUUGUUUCUGUUUCAGAGAAUCAAGAGGAGUGACCGUCAUUCAGACACCUGCAGUCAAAUCUGUUCAUCUACGAGACACAGUUACUAUCACCUGUAAAACUAACCCUGAAAUCCCACAGGACUGGGCUUUUCAGCCUUUAUACUGGUACUUACAGAAACCUGGAGAAGCUCCUAAACUUCUGAUACAUCAGAUCAACCGCCUUCAGUCUGGGACUCCAUCAAGAUUCAGUGGCAGUGGAUCAAAAACAGAUUUUACUCUGAGCAUCAGUGGAGUUCAGACUGAAGAUGAAGGAGUUUAUUGCUGUCAGAGUAUACACAGUAAUGGAGUGAUCACACAGUGA